AUCCCAUGGUGCGGACAUUCCCUUUGAUACUCCUUGAAUCUAUCCCAAGCUUCGAACAAAGACUCAUCACGUUUUUGCUCAAAUAAUUGUAUCUUGUGCCGGUAUUU
rfam:Spinacia oleracea cultivar SynViroflay scaffold6952.con0001.1, whole genome shotgun sequence.